rnacentral:rRNA from 1 species
UACGAAGGGGGCUAGCGUUGUUCGGAAUUACUGGGCGUAAAGCGCACGUAGGUGGUUUGCUAAGUCAGCUGUGAAAUCCCCGGGCUCAACCUGGGCACUGCAGUUGAAACUGGCAAGCUAGAGUAGGGUAGAGGGGUGUGGAAUUCCAGGUGUAGCGGUGAAAUGCGUAGAUAUCUGGAGGAACAUCAGUGGCGAAGGCGACACCCUGGACUCAUACUGACACUGAGGUGCGAAAGCGUGGGGAGCAAACAGG